rnacentral:tRNA from 1 species
GGAGGGUUCGCCUAGUGGCCGAUGGCGCUGGUCUUGAAAACCGGUAAGGGCAGCGAUGUCCUUCGUGGGUUCGAAUCCCACACCCUCCGCCA